CGGCAGCACAGGAGAGCUUGCUCUCUGGGUGGCGAGUGGCGGACGGGUGAGGAAUACAUCGGAAUCUACUUUUUCGUGGGGGAUAACGUAGGGAAACUUACGCUAAUACCGCAUACGACCUACGGGUGAAAGCAGGGGAUCUUCGGACCUUGCGCGAUUGAAUGAGCCGAUGUCGGAUUAGCUAGUUGGCGGGGUAAAGGCCCACCAAGGCGACGAUCCGUAGCUGGUCUGAGAGGAUGAUCAGCCACACUGGAACUGAGACACGGUCCAGACUCCUACGGGAGGCAGCAGUGGGGAAUAUUGGACAAUGGGCGCAAGCCUGAUCCAGCCAUACCGCGUGGGUGAAGAAGGCCUUCGGGUUGUAAAGCCCUUUUGUUGGGAAAGAAAUCCAGCUGGUUAAUACCCGGUUGGGAUGACGGUACCCAAAGAAUAAGCACCGGCUAACUUCGUGC
rnacentral:rRNA from 1 species